UAAAUCUUUGUAUUUCAACGUUAAGCAAAAAUAGUUGCAUGUUACAUUACGCAAAUGUGCACGCUAAUUCAAUCUACAGUGAACCCUCGUUUACCGCGUUACGUCCCAAAAACAACCCGCAAUAAGUGAAAUCCGCAAAGUAGUGAAAAGUAUUUAUUAUGUAAGGAAUAAUUGACGACGGGCCGUUGAUUAUUAGAAAAAUAAUGCACACCCGAGGUGGUGAUUCGCGUCGUGGCCGUUACACCUCGGGUGUGCAUUAUUUUUCUAAUAAUCAACGGCCCGGAGUCAAUUAUUCCGCUUAUACUACGGUUGCCACACAUCAAGACAUCGAUCAGAUGAUAUAUUUCAAGGGAUUCGUCCGGUUUUUCUACUUAAAUCGCUAUUGUGAGUAGGAUUAUUUCUUCCGCAUCUCAUCCAACGACUCUUUUGCGAGUUCCAAAACGUCAUUUUAAAGCUGGCGAUGGAGGCUUGAGCCGUUGAUAGCAGACUAAUGCAGUUAAUAAUGAAGUUAUUAGAAAGAGAGCGAGAGAGACAGAGACACGCAGAGAGAGAGAGAGAGAGCUGUGUGUGUGUCCCUCAACAGUGUUAUGAAGCACCGUCUCUGUCCGUUGUCUGCUUUAAGAUGCAGCGCUGUUAAUAACGUUAACGUUACCUCGCUAGUGAGAAAUGUCAUGUCAACUUGGAAUUCACCAGAAUUACUGGAAAAAGCCUCAUAGGAGAAUUCUUUUCUGCUCUGGAUGGUCUGUAUCCUGGCUUAGAAGAGGUCUUCACGAGAAAGACAGGACGUGUGGGCCAAGAACUGGCAGACCUUCGGAAGCAAAAGCAGAGCAUGGAGCCCACUGUCAACAGAUGUUACGCCUUGAGGGGACUUCCAAUUAUUCUUGGGGACAAUGCCUCCAAGUUCUUAACGAGUCAAAAAAAUGCUGCUGAUGGUGACCUUGAAAUCCCAAUAGGAAUCAUCUUCAAUGGUGAAAACGGAAGUCCAGAGCAAGAACUGAACCCCUCCCAACUGGGGAUCCUUCUAGAGGGCAAUGUGGUUAUGGAUUCCAUCUGCAGUCUUCCUUUGGCAAUGUGUCUCCUGUUCGGACUGACUUAUGCACUCCACUUGGAGUACCCAAAGUGCAUGAAGAAUACCUUCCUGUUUAUCCAGCAGAUUAUGCUGAAUCUGGGACGAAACGAUCCUCCUCCAAAACUCCAAAGGCUAAAAAAUGAGCUUUCAAUGUGAGAUACUGAGAUAUGUUCUUACCUUAGCUUUGAAGAGUUGAUGCAUACCAGUAACCCUAGUGCACUCUGAAGCAUAGACUGAGUUACUGGGGGGAUGAAGAAGUGCUCCUACAGUGUUAUUACACCUUGUAAUAUAGUACCCCUUCUUAUCGGCUUAGAAAAUCCACACAUUAAAUUUAGUUAAACUAAACUUGGAAGAGUGUCACUUUGAGGCUUUGCUCCAUUUGCAUGACUGAGGGCACGCACAAAGACAAAACUGGUACACAUCAACUCGUCAAAGCUAAGGUAAGAACAUAUCUUAUGUAAAAUCAGUGACCUAUUCCUUUAAUUUCAUUGUCUCGCUGGGGCCAUUCCUUAUUCCAUAGUUUUUAUUUUUCCAAGUUAAAAUAUUUGUGGAAAUAAGUUUUACUGUUACAACUUGUUACCCAGAGUGUCACACCAAAGUUCUUUACUUGUGAUACACAGUUUUAUCUGUUUAAAAGGAUUGUUUUAAAGAAAAUGUUUUAUAUGAAGUUCAAUUGUGCACUUGUUUCACUUACUGUGAAAAAAAAACUACCUCAGAGACCACAAAUAAGUUCUUGUCAAAAAGUGUCUUGGAAUAACUGAAAUAUUGAAAUAAUGUUUCUGAAAGAAAUGUUUUCUUAGAAGCGCCAUGUGUAAAAAUUGUAAUACUGUUCAAAGGAAAACAAAAGUCUUGUUUUGUUAUAAAUAAAGUAAAAAAAAAAAACA